CGAGACUCACAUAUUUAAGUAAUUUUUGGCCCCAACUCAAAGAGGAAGAUUUCACAGUGCACAAAUCUAUAUAGAUUGUACUAACAUUAAUUAAUUUGCUUUUGAGGGAGACAACAAAUGUAGAUUCACAAAUACAAAAUUAACGCGUUAUUGACAAUACAUUGCGGAUGGAAUUAAUCACUAUUCCCAAUAUCAACACAAUACAAUUACAAAUAUGAACAAACUUCCUUCAUGAAGUAAUGCAAACUGAACGUGUGUUCUCAAAUGACUGGACAGAUGUUGGAAAAUAUUCAAUAAAAGAAUUUGAAGUGUCAAUUAUCACAGACCAAGCAAGAAAACAACUUGUGAAUGAAAGAUUUGGGUGUUGUGCUUGUAGAUGACUUGGCUAAAACAAUGAUCUCUGAUUCAUCUGCUCCACUUUCCCUGGCUUUCUCACAUUCUUCACAGAAUUUCUUGAAGCCAUCCUCAACAUACUUUACAGCUUGUAAAACUGUCAUGCCCUCCACAAGUUUGUGAGGGUAAAUGUCCUUUUUAUGAUCUCCAUUCAAUGCUGCUGCCAUUUGCACUAGUUCUUCUUGGAAUUCACUAAGUUUUGCCUCUUCUUUUGCAUCAGCUUCUCGCAGUUUCACAGGUUCUGUCAAUGUAACUGGACAAUCUGUUCUUGGGCUACUUCGAGUCAAAACACCCUCAAAAGUGCCAGCCCAAGCAUCUCUCUUGGUCAGAAACUCUUUUAAGUUGAAAAGCUUUUUAACUGUUGCUGCGAUUGAGGAAUGCUCAUAUUGUGAUGUAGGUUCUGGUCCUGAAGGUCCGUGCAGUACUGUUCCAGGCUCAAUCCAGGGAGAGAUUAAAAGAGCUGGAAUCCUGACGCCAAGUCGAUCAAACUUGAAGAAAUAAGGGGCGGGACCAACAAUAUCAUCAGGACUAGGGACACCAGUUACAGGAGUUGGAACAUGAUCAUAGAAACCACCAUGUUCAUCAUAUAUGAUUAUGAAGAGCAUUUCGUUCCACUGGGGGCUAGCUCUCAGUGCUUCAUAGACUUCUUUCACAAAUUUUUGGCCUUCGGAGACAUCAUGUGAUGGGUGGUCAUCGUUUGCCGGUAUGCUUAAAAGGUCGAAAAACCUUUGUUCAACCACCACAUAGUUUGGUAGCUUCCCUUCCUCACAGUGCUUCUUAAAGUGCAGAUCAAACUGGUGGAAAUGCUUUAAGUACUUCAACUUUCUAAGGUUCCUGUAGAAAAGAGUAGGCGGAGGGUAUUGAUAAUAAAUCCCAAAGGUAAAACCAGACUCAUCCAUCGACUCAAAUAUGGUCUUCUGCGCGUACCCUUCUACCAGCAACUUUGUGUCAUUACUCGUUGCACCAUGGGAUGUCGCUGAAUGCACAUACAGCCUAUUCGGCUGCGUCGACGCCGGAACUGAAGCAAACCACCUAUCACAUAUCGCGAAAUUCAUCGCCAGCUCCUUAUAAACCGGCACGGCCUCCGGUUUAAACCCGUUCAUUACUGUCUCCCCCAUGCCCGUCUGGAUGCGCUCUGCAUUCUGAGCAAAGCCAUUCAUUUUCGGUGUCAGAGCGUUCUCGCUAAGUGCGGCUUCUGUCCAUUCAACGCCAAAAACCUGCUCGUAAAUGGCUUGGAUGGAGUGGCCAGGGUCUGGGUCAACGUAUGCAGCGUUGUCGCCGUAGAAGAUGACGGAGGAGUUGAGGUCAGAGGUGGAGAUGUGGUUGGAUUCGGAUCCUGUGACGCCUUCAAUUUCUGGGUUGAGGGUCUUUAGCCAGCCGAGCAUGUGAUCGAAUGAACGGUUUUCUUGGACCAGAACCACCACCGUUUUGAUGGGGUAUUGGUGUGGGGUGGAAGAGGAGCUUUCUGCAACCAUUUUGGGCGGUUGGGUUUGGGUGUUGGUUUGGUUGGAAGGUGAGUGGUGGUUUUGUUUGAUGUGCUGCUAAUUUAUGUAGUUUUAUAUACGCAGAGUUUUGAUUGAAGAAGAAAGUCCUAAAGACAGAUAUUCA
rnacentral:misc_RNA from 1 species